GAUGAACGCUGACAGAAUGCUUAACACAUGCAAGUCAACUGUGGCGGACGGGUGAGUAACGCGUAAAGAACUUGCCUCACAGCUAGGGACAACAUUUGGAAACGAAUGCUAAUACCUGAUACUGUGAGAGAGCUUUGCGUCCCAUUAGCUAGUUGGAGAGGUAACGGCUCACCAAGGCGAGGAUGGGUAGCCGGCCUGUGAGGGUGAUCGGCUACAAGGGGACUGGGGCACGGCCCUUACUGAUACGGGAGGCAGCAGUGGUGAACAUUGGACGAUGGACCAAAGUCUGAUCCAGCAAUUCUGUGUGCACGAUGAAGUUUUCGGAAUGUAAAGUGCUUUCAGUUUGGAAGCGGUACCAACAGAAGAAGUGACGGCUAAAUCCGUGCCAGCAGCCGCGGUAAUAC
rnacentral:rRNA from 1 species